AAGUACACCUUCCGGUACACUUACCAUGUUACGACUUGCCUCCCCUUUGCUGGUCUAAUUUAAUUAUUUAUGCUAAUGUGUUGCUUGGGGGAGAGUGACGGGCGGUGUGUGCGCGCUUAAGGGCCGGUUUCAGUGGGGCACUCUGAUCUCCACUUACUACUAAAUCCACCUUCUAGUGCCUUUUUCAGAGCACUUUCCGUGUAUCCUGAUCAGGAAAUGUAGCCCAUUUCUUCCCCCUUCAUUCACUACACCUCGACCUGACGUUUUGGGGUAAGCUAAUUACGCUUACUAUGGCUCCUUCACAGGGUGAGCUGACGACGGCGGUAUAUAGGCGGUAAUAGCAAGAAGGGGUGAGGUUUAACGAGGGUUAUCGGUUCUAGAACAGGCUCCUCUAGGGGGUUAUUAAGCACCGCCAAGUC
rnacentral:rRNA from 1 species